GAGAAGAACAUAGCCAUGAGGCCAGGCAGAUGUGGGCUCAUAAUAGCUUGUGGCCUUGAGUGGACACAAACUCUCAGAGCAGGUAAAUUCUUCUGAACCUGAAUUCCUAAACAAUAUGUGAAGGUUAAAAUAACCUAACCUACUGAUGUACUUAAGGAUAAAGUAAACUAGUAUGUGUGAAAGAAGUGGCACACAGCCACCGGAACUGCGUUUCUUCUUUUUGUCUGAUGUUAUCUCUCAGCUUCUGACACAUGGAAGAUCAAUGGUCUUACAUUCAGUGGAUAUAGGUUUUUUGUUUUGGGGUUUGUUUGGUUUUUUGUUUGAUGGUUUUGAGAUUUUUUUUUUCACCAUGGAUUGAACCCAGGGGCACUUAACCACUGAGCCACAUCCCCAACCCUUUUUAUAUUUUGUUUUUGAGAUGGCCUCGCUAAGUUCCUGAGGCUGGUUUUGAACUUGCAGUCCUUCUGCCUCAGCCUCUCAGCUGCUGGGAUUACAGGCAUAUGCCCUUAAUCACCAUGCCCAGCAAUAUAAGUAUUCUUACUGGAAAUUCAGGGGAAGGAGCUUUGAGGUUAGCGCUGGAGUAUAAAACUAAGGGACAAAUUAGAAUUUAUUAAGAAAAUGUACCAAAUUCAAAGAGAAGAAAAAGCACUAUAAAGACCAAAUCGCAGAGAAGGAGGAGCAUGAUUAGAACUUAGCUCUGGGCUGAGUCAGGGCUGGGCUGGCCACUUUCCCAACUAGAUUCACUGCUCAUCUUCCCAGUCCCAGGCUGUGACUGCCUGUGCUGACCAUGCACAACACUGACAUCUCAGGGGAUGUCAGGGGCCCCAAGGAACACAUUUCCCAUUCCUCACUGUUCUGCCAAGGAUAGCCUUGGCAUGUGUCAUUUAGGAGACUGGCUCACAGUUAAGAAAAUCUGGGGCUGGGGAUGUGGCUCAAGCGGUAGCACGCUCGCCUGGCAUGUGUGCGGCCCGGGUUCGAUCCUCAGCACCACAUACAAAGAAAGAUGUUGUGUCCGCCGAAAACUGAAAAAAAUAAAUAAAUAUUUAAAAAAAAA
rnacentral:lncRNA from 1 species